UACGUAGGUGGCGAGCGUUGUCCGGAUUUACUGGGCGUAAAGGGAGCGUAGGCGGACUUUUAAGUGAGAUGUGAAAUACCCGGGCUCAACUUGGGUGCUGCAUUUCAAACUGGAAGUCUAGAGUGCAGGAGAGGAGAAUGGAAUUCCUAGUGUAGCGGUGAAAUGCGUAGAUAUUAGGAGGAACACCAGUGGCGAAGGCGACUCUCUGGUCUAUAACUGACGCUGAGGCGCGAAAGCGUGGGGAGCAAACAGGAUUAGAUACCCU
rnacentral:rRNA from 1 species